rnacentral:lncRNA from 1 species
AUUUUUUCAGGCAAGGAUAAAAAGUGCUGGUAAUUAAAAAUGCUUAAAAUAGGGCAAGUCACUCUUAAGGGAUUGCAUUAAACCUAAUAUAAAAGAAUAAGCAUGAUCAAAUCAAAAACUUUCCCUUGGCCAUGUGAGCGAUAGGAAACAAGGAAAGAAGGGGACAACCUUAGUACAUGCAUCCUACACUGUAGUGUUUCAAUUUAGGAGUCUAGGGGGGCUGAUUAAGUGGUACUUAGGCUCAAAAGAAAAAGGGGCUUGAUUUACUAAGUUAUUUAUUGCUUGAGGACAAGCAAAAAGCUAGGUGUGGGGGUAUUUGAUCAAGCAUAAUUUAGCCACAUUUUUAUUAUAUUUAUUACUUUUUAUUUAC